AGUGAACGCUGGCGGCGUGCCUAAUACAUGCAAGUCGAACGCAGUGGGGACGGGUGAGUAACACGUGGGUAACCUCCCAUCAGAGGGGAUAACACUUGGCAACAGGUGCUAAACCGAUACUGAUGGAUGGACCCGCGGUGCAUUAGCGAGUUGGUGGGGUAACGGCUCACCAAGGCCACGAUGCAUAGCCGACCUGAGAGGGUGAUCAGCCACACUGGGACUGAGACACGGCCCAGACUCCUACGUGAGGCAGCAGUAGGGAAUCGUGGGCAAUGGACGAAAGUCUGACCGAGCAACGCCGCGUGAGUGAAGAAGGUUUUCGGAUCGUAAAAUUCUGUUGUUAGAGAAGCGGUAUCUAACCAGAAAGCCACGGCUAACUACGUGCCAGCAGCCGCGGUAAUAC
rnacentral:rRNA from 1 species